AUGCAGCCUGCUUCUGCAAAGUGGUGCGAUCGAAGGGACUAUGUCUUCAUUGAAUUUUGUGUUGAAGACAUAAGGAUGUUAAUGUAAAUUUUGAAAAAUCCAACCUUACAUUCAGUUGUCUUGGAGAAAGUGAUAAUUUUAAGCACUUAAAUGAAAUUGAUCUUUUUUACUGUAUUGAUCCAAAUGAUUCCAAGCAUAAAAGAAUGGACAGAUCAAUUUUGUAUUGUUUACAAACAGGAGAAUCUGGCCAGUCAUGGCCAAAGUUAACAAAAGAAAGGGUAAAGCUGAAUUGUCUUAGUGUGGACUUGAAUAAUUGGGAAGACUGGGAAGAUGGUUCAGAUGAAGACAGGUCUAAUUUUGAUAGUUUCUCCGAGAUGAUGAACAACAUGGGUGGUGAUGAGGAUGUAGAUUUACCAGAAGUAGAUGAAGCAAAUGAUGAUUCACAAGACAGUGAUGAUGAAAAAUGCCAGAUCUGGAGUAAGAAAUAUUGUCAUCACCUGGAUUUUGAGAAAGAAAAUAACUUCUCUCCAAGAUUUCAUAAUUGAGAGAAUUCCUGAGUUGAUAACCCUAAAGGCAGAUGCUGUAUUUGCCUACUUUAACCCGUUUUUCAACCUGUUUAUUUUUUAAAAGGCUUCACUAAGGGUUGAUAUGUACCAUUUUAAGUCAGCUAAGGCAAUAACCUUAUGCGUGAACAUUUCCCAGACUUUAGUGAAACUGUUGAGGUCCUAGGCAACUGAUGCAGCAGUUGUGAUAAAUAAAAACAUUUCACCUAAGUCUCCUUUUCUUCAUAACAUAGAUACUGACAUGAUAGGAAGCUCUCAGCUUAGGUAAAGAGAACAAAAUUUUAGUUUAUAGGAGA